UAGAGCACGUGUUUGUGAUGAAAAUUAACCCAAGAGACUAAAGACCUAGAGACCUUUGAAAGCAAACAUAGCAAGCCUGAAAAGAAGAAAGUUGUCGUUCACCUGUGACUGUGCUCCUAAUCACACCGACGAAGAGCAACCACAGCACAAAGGAUGGGUGCAAUACUGUGUGACAGCUUGACUGUGGAGAGGCUUGACACCAUUUUGCUGUGAAUUGAAUAACUCAGCAGAGGACUGGAAGUCUAAGAUAAAGGGCAAUGGGAAUAUUCGUGGCUGGGAGAGGGCUACCCUCUGCUCAG
rnacentral:lncRNA from 1 species